UUAACUCAAAUUUGUAUGGAGUUGGAACAGCGCCCCUAGCGGCAAACGUAGGCAAACGUUCCAAUUCGAUACUAAUUUGAGUUA
rnacentral:pre_miRNA from 1 species